GAUUUUGCCGAUCACUGCAUACAAAAUCUAUGUAAAAUUUGUAAUAAGUUGAACAUUUAAAUUGAUGGUUCACUUGUAACCACAAAACCCACACAAAUUGGUAUACUGUGGAUUCAUUAUUAUUCGUUGGAUACCAAUUUUCGUGGUUUUCGUGGGUACAGGUGAACCACAAAUUCAAAUGUUCAACGAAUAACACAUUUUCUAUAGGCUUUGAAUGCAGAAAUUGGCAAAACC
rnacentral:sRNA from 1 species